CCGGGCUGGAGAAGCAAGGCACGCUGGGAGAUGGAGUCUCGGAGUGUUGCACCUGCCGCAGGAAGCAGUGAGGGGAGGAGGGUGUAUGGAGAAGGUGGAGUGCGAGUGCGGUAGGAGCCGCCUGCAGGGCCUCUUUCCCCGAACCCAAGCUUUUCUGUCCUAUGCGGAAGAGGAGGGGCUCGCUCACUGCCCUUCUCCAAGGUCCAGCAGAGAAAGAGCCCCCUCCCCCACCCUCGCCCUCCUCCCCCCACUGAGCUCUGCAGCUCCUGCUCUGACAUCCAACCAGGAGUUGUUCCAGUCUGGACCCGACCAACGUGACCUAGCGGGGAAAGGAGUGAAAGACGGCGGGACUGGAGAGAGGGACCGGCAGAAAGCGAUUGUCCACAAGUGGAGGCAAAAUAAUGACCUGCAAGUCGUAGGCAAAUGAGCUCAGGGACACCUCCUUCUUACGGUGCUUAAUACAGAAAAAGACUAGAACUCCAGACAUUUCCCACUUUCAAAAAAUUGGCCUCCUUGGAGUUCCUGCCGUGGCGCAGUGGUUAACGAAUCCGACUAGGAACCAUGAGGUUGCGGGUUCGGUCCCUGCCCUUGCUCAGUGGGUUAAGGAUCUGGUGUUGCCGUGAGCUGUGGUGUAGGUUGCAGAUGCGGCUCGGAUCCUGUGUUGCUGUGGCUCUGGCGUAGGCCGGCGGCUGCAGCUCCGAUUCAACCCCUAGCCUGGGAACCUCCAUGUGCCGCCGGAAUGGCCUGAGAAAUGACAAAAAGACCAAAAAAAAAAAAAAAAAAAAAAAAAUUUGGCCUCCUAAAGGAUGUCACCAGCAACUGGAAUGGGGAGGAAACGAGACUAAGAAAGUACCCGAGUCAGAAAGAAGGGGAAGCCCCAUUGGAAGUGUGGGCCCUAAGGACAUGGAAGCUGGCUUUUUGUUUUUUAAGGUCUCAGAGUGAGAAACAAGAUGCUCCAUGUUUAUAUGUGCAGGUGAGAUCCUCACUGUGGCAAGAACCAGAGGAAGGUGUGAUGGCGGGAGGGGGGGUUGCCCAUCGAGGGAGCCUGGCACCUGAGGGGCCUCCUAAGGAUGCACGUGUGACUGGGAGUGAGAAGGUGCCCGGGGCCCUGGUGCACAGCUGA
rnacentral:lncRNA from 1 species